rnacentral:rRNA from 1 species
CACGUAGGCGGACUCUUAAGUCAGGGGUGAAAUCCCGGAGCUCAACUCCAGAACUGCCUUUGAUACUGGGAGCCUUGAGUUCGGGAGAGGUGAGUGGAACUGCGAGUGUAGAGGUGAAAUUCGUAGAUAUUCGCAAGAACACCAGUGGCGAAGGCGGCUCACUGGCCCGAUACUGACGCUGAGGUGCGAAAGCGUGGGGAGCAAACA